GACGAACGCUGGCGGCGUGCUUAACACAUGCAAGUCGAACGAAGUGGCGAACGGGUGAGUAACGCGUAAUCCACCUGCCCUUCGGAGGGGGACAACAGUUGGAAACGACUGCUAAUACCGCAUACUGAAGGAGGGGAUUGCGUCUGAUUAGCUAGUUGGAGGGGUAACGGCCCACCAAGGCGAUGAUCAGUAGCCGGUCUGAGAUGAUGAACGGCCACAUGGGGACUGAGACACGGCCCAGACUGCGACGGGAGGCAGCAGGGGGGAAACUUCCGCAAGGGACGAAAGUCUGACGGAGCAACGCCGCGUGAGUGAUGACGGCCUUCGGGUUGUAAAGCUCUGUUAAUCGGGACGCGGUACCGGAAGAGAAAGCCACGGCUAACUACGUGCCAGCAGCCGCGGUAAUAC
rnacentral:rRNA from 1 species